UACGGAGGGUGCAAGCGUUAUCCGGAUUCACUGGGUUUAAAGGGUGCGUAGGUGGGUCUGUAAGUCAGUGGUGAAAUCUCCGAGCUUAACUCGGAAACUGCCAUUGAUACUAUAGGUCUUGAAUUAUCUGGAGGUAAGCGGAAUAUGUCAUGUAGCGGUGAAAUGCUUAGAUAUGACAUAGAACACCAAUUGCGAAGGCAGCUUACUACGGAUACAUUGACACUGAGGCACGAAAGCGUGGGGAUCAAACAGG
rnacentral:rRNA from 1 species